UACAGAGGUCUCAAGCGUUGUUCGGAUUCAUUGGGCGUAAGGGUGCGUAGGCGGCGCGGUAAGUCGGGUGUGAAAUCUUGGAGCUUAACUCCGAAGACUGCAUUCGAUACUGCCGUGCUUGAGGACUGGAGAGGAGACUGGAAUUUACGGUGUAGCGGUGAAAUGCGUAGAUAUCGUAAGGAAGACCAGUGGCGAAGGCGGGUCUCUGGACAGUUCCUGACGCUGAGGCACGAAGGCCAGGGGAGCAAACGGG
rnacentral:rRNA from 1 species